CUAGGAACCCUGAUGAAAGUCGGGGGUGCCCGCAAGGGAACCUAGAGACAGGUGCUGCAUGGCUGUCGUCAGCUCGUGUCGUGAGAUGUUGGGUUAAGUCCCGCAACGAGCGCAACCCUUGUCCUUAGUUGCUAACGGGUAAGCCGAGCUCUCUAGGGAGACUGCCCGCGAAAGCGGGAGGAAGGCGGGGAUGACGUCUAGUCCGCAUGGCCCUUACGGCCUGGGCGACAC
rnacentral:rRNA from 1 species